GUUUCCUUGUGACAUCAUUUAGCUGCUGGAUCUGUUAGCCACUCCUUUACUCAGAGUCUUUUCCAGGAGUGGUCUUUAAAGAUGAUGAUAUAGGAGGUCCCUGAACACCUUCCCUCCCAUGGACACACUAAAUGAACAGCUACACACGGAGCAAUUCCCUUUGGAAGUAUAAUCCAGAACUGGCUGAGUAACUUCUAUACAUCAGCCAAACAAGUUUUGUAUCAUCAAGAAUAAACACUCUCUCUGCCUCCUCUCUGAAAAAAAGGAAAGG